AGCAGCCGCGGUAAUUCCAGCUCCAAUAGCGUAUAUUAAAGUUGUUGCAGUUAAAAAGCUCGUAGUUGAAUUUCGGGACCAAUUUGUUGGUCGUGCCUCGGUACGUACUGGUAUUAUUGGUUUCUCCCUUCUGAAGAACCUCGAUGCCAUUAAUUUGGUGUCGUGGGGAAUCAGGACUGUUACUUUGAAAAAAUUAGAGUGUUUAAAGCAAGCAUACGCUUGAAUACAUUAGCAUGGAAUAAUGAAAUAGGACGUUUGAUUCUAUUUUGUUGGUUUUUAGGAUCGACGUAAUGAUUAAUAGGGAUAGUUGGGGGCAUUAGUAUUCAAUUGUCAGAGGUGAAAUUCUUGGAUUUAUUGAAGACUAACUACUGCGAAAGCAUUUGCCAAGGAUGUUUUCAUUAAUCAAGAACGAAAGUUAGGGAUCGAAGACGAUCAGAUACCGUCGUAGUC
rnacentral:rRNA from 1 species